UUACCAACCCGAUGCAAACUGCGAAUACCGGAGAAUGUUAUCACGGGAGACACACGGCGGGUGCUAACGUCCGUCGUGAAGAGGGAAACAACCCAGACCGCCAGCUAAGGUCCCAAAGUCAUGGUUAAGUGGGAAACGAUGUGGGAAGGCCCAGACAGCCAGGAUGUUGGCUUAGAAGCAGCCAUCAUUUAAAGAAAGCGUAAUAGCUCACUGGUCGAGUCGGCCUGCGCGGAAGAUGUAACGGGGCUAAACCAUGCACCGAAGCUGCGGCAGCGACGCUGAUGCGUUGUUGGGUAGGGGAGCGUUCUGUAAGCCUGCGAAGGUGUGCUGUGAGGCAUGCUGGAGGUAUCAGAAGUGCGAAUGCUGACAUAAGUAACGAUAAAGCGGGUGAAAAGCCCGCUCGCCGGAAGACCAAGGGUUCCUGUCCAACGUUAAUCGGGGCAGGGUGAGUCGACCCCUAAGGCGAGGCCGAAAGGCGUAGUCGAUGGGAAACAGGUUAAUAUUCCUGUACUUGGUGUUACUGCGAAGGGGGGACGGAGAAGGCUAUGUUGGCCGGGCGACGGUUGUCCCGGUUUAAGCGUGUAGGCUGGUUUUCCAGGCAAAUCCGGAAAAUCAAGGCUGAGGCGUGAUGACGAGGCACUACGGUGCUGAAGCAACAAAUGCCCUGCUUCCAGGAAAAGCCUCUAAGCAUCAGGUAACAUCAAAUCGUACCCCAAACCGACACAGGUGGUCAGGUAGAGAAUACCAAGGCGCUUGAGAGAACUCGGGUGAAGGAACUAGGCAAAAUGGUGCCGUAACUUCGGGAGAAGG
rnacentral:rRNA from 1 species